CAUCUAAAUUAAAAACAUUUCAUACUCGUAAUUAUAAAUCAAUUCAUCUGUUACAACAGAUAAUUGUAUAGUGACACAGUGUUGAUUAAACUUUAAAGGCCCAAAUAUUAAGGAGUUUUUUUUAUGUAGCAAAUAAAGGGCUUAAAUAUUAAAUACCUUGGUGGGGUCCAAGAAUUCUAUUAAUUUUAUACAUUGUUUUUUUUUUUUUUUUUAACAGUACUUGUAAGUUUUGAAAACACAAUUUUUCCAAGUUACUUCAUGUUAUUAUUGUUUUUUUUGUUACAAAAUUGAUAUAUUUCCCUUUUGAUCUGGAUUGCACAAAUUGUGGCACAAUACAUAAAACAUUUCAUUUAUUUAUUUAUUUAACCGAACGAAUAAUAUGUUUAAUCAACCAAAUGUACAUAAUGUUUUAUUCUAUAAAAACAGGAUUAAUGUCUCAUGUCAACAUUUUUUUUCUGUGGUUUUUGUUUUCAAUUUAAUGUUGUCAUAGAGGAAAUAUUAAGUAUAUUAUAGUGUAUUUGAUCUAUUUUGUUACUUUGUAUGGAUUAUAGUUAUACUUUAAAACCACUAUAGACUGUUGUAAUAAUUGAUUGUCAGUAUUUUCAGUUUUUUUUUAUUCGUUCGGUUUUAUUUUAUUAAUUUGUUUAGUUUCUUCAUUUAAUUAUGAAAAACAAUAACUCCUAACAAAUAUAAUAUAUUUUACUGUUAAAUGGAAUCAACAUAACCAGAAUUAUAUACAAUUUUUUUUGUUUAGGUUAUAAUUAUUUUGUUUUAUCUCAAACCAUUAAUGUAUUACAAUUAUAUAUUUAUUGUAUGUUUGAAUUAAAUAGAGCCACAUAUUUUAAGCUAAUUUUCUAAUUAAUCAAAUUCAAAAUUGUUUAGUUAAACAUUUUAUCUACCUUAAUAUGUGUUAAAUAUUUACAUUUAUAUUUAUAUAUAGAAUUAUACUUAUAUAUAUAUAAAUAUAAAUUGUUAUAGGUACAUAUUGAUUUUGAUUAAUAUCUUUUUCUGUAUACAUUAUUUUUCCACCACUGUCCUUUUGAUUAUUUUGUGUGAAAACUGUAAUGUAUUAAAAAAAAAAAAAAAAAAAAACUGUAUAAUAACAAUAUAUAAUGUUCAGGGUUGAAUAUUAAUAAAUUUAUUAUUUAUAA